rnacentral:rRNA from 1 species
UUAAGCGACUAAGCGUACACGGUGGAUGCCCUGGCAGUCAGAGGCGAUGAAGGACGUGCUAAUCUGCGAUAAGCGUCGGUAAGGUGAUAUGAACCGUUAUAACCGGCGAUUUCCGAAUGGGGAAACCCAGUGUGUUUCGACACACUAUCAUUAACUGAAUCCAUAGGUUAAUGAGGCGAACCGGGGGAACUGAAACAUCUAAGUACCCCGAGGAAAAGAAAUCAACCGAGAUUCCCCCAGUAGCGGCGAGCGAACGGGGAGGAGCCCAGAGCCUGAAUCAGUGUGUGUGUUAGUGGAAGCGUCUGGAAAGGCGCGCGAUACAGGGUGACAGCCCCGUACACAAAAAUGCACAUACUGUGAGCUCGAUGAGUAGGGCGGGACACGUGGUAUCCUGUCUGAAUAUGGGGGGACCAUCCUCCAAGGCUAAAUACUCCUGACUGACCGAUAGUGAACCAGUACCGUGAGGGAAAGGCGAAAAGAACCCCGGCGAGGGGAGUGAAAAAGAACCUGAAACCGUGUACGUACAAGCAGUGGGAGCACGCUUAGGCGUGUGACUGCGUACCUUUUGUAUAAUGGGUCAGCGACUUAUAUUCUGUAGCAAGGUUAACCGAAUAGGGGAGCCGAAGGGAAACCGAGUCUUAACUGGGCGUUAAGUUGCAGGGUAUAGACCCGAAACCCGGUGAUCUAGCCAUGGGCAGGUUGAAGGUUGGGUAACACUAACUGGAGGACCGAACCGACUAAUGUUGAAAAAUUAGCGGAUGACUUGUGGCUGGGGGUGAAAGGCCAAUCAAACCGGGAGAUAGCUGGUUCUCCCCGAAAGCUAUUUAGGUAGCGCCUCGUGAAUUCAUCUCCGGGGGUAGAGCACUGUUUCGGCAAGGGGGUCAUCCCGACUUACCAACCCGAUGCAAACUGCGAAUACCGGAGAAUGUUAUCACGGGAGACACACGGCGGGUGCUAACGUCCGUCGUGAAGAGGGAAACAACCCAGACCGCCAGCUAAGGUCCCAAAGUCAUGGUUAAGUGGGAAACGAUGUGGGAAGGCCCAGACAGCCAGGAUGUUGGCUUAGAAGCAGCCAUCAUUUAAAGAAAGCGUAAUAGCUCACUGGUCGAGUCGGCCUGCGCGGAAGAUGUAACGGGGCUAAACCAUGCACCGAAGCUGCGGCAGCGACGCUUAUGCGUUGUUGGGUAGGGGAGCGUUCUGUAAGCCUGUGAAGGUGUGCUGUGAGGCAUGCUGGAGGUAUCAGAAGUGCGAAUGCUGACAUAAGUAACGAUAAAGCGGGUGAAAAGCCCGCUCGCCGGAAGACCAAGGGUUCCUGUCCAACGUUAAUCGGGGCAGGGUGAGUCGACCCCUAAGGCGAGGCCGAAAGGCGUAGUCGAUGGGAAACAGGUUAAUAUUCCUGUACUUGGUGUUACUGCGAAGGGGGGACGGAGAAGGCUAUGUUGGCCGGGCGACGGUUGUCCCGGUUUAAGCGUGUAGGCUGGUUUUCCAGGCAAAUCCGGAAAAUCAAGGCUGAGGCGUGAUGACGAGGCACUACGGUGCUGAAGCAACAAAUGCCCUGCUUCCAGGAAAAGCCUCUAAGCAUCAGGUAACAUCAAAUCGUACCCCAAACCGACACAGGUGGUCAGGUAGAGAAUACCAAGGCGCUUGAGAGAACUCGGGUGAAGGAACUAGGCAAAAUGGUGCCGUAACUUCGGGAGAAGGCACGCUGAUAUGUAGGUGAAGUCCCUCGCGGAUGGAGCUGAAAUCAGUCGAAGAUACCAGCUGGCUGCAACUGUUUAUUAAAAACACAGCACUGUGCAAACACGAAAGUGGACGUAUACGGUGUGACGCCUGCCCGGUGCCGGAAGGUUAAUUGAUGGGGUCAGCGCAAGCGAAGCUCUUGAUCGAAGCCCCGGUAAACGGCGGCCGUAACUAUAACGGUCCUAAGGUAGCGAAAUUCCUUGUCGGGUAAGUUCCGACCUGCACGAAUGGCGUAAUGAUGGCCAGGCUGUCUCCACCCGAGACUCAGUGAAAUUGAACUCGCUGUGAAGAUGCAGUGUACCCGCGGCAAGACGGAAAGACCCCGUGAACCUUUACUAUAGCUUGACACUGAACAUUGAGCCUUGAUGUGUAGGAUAGGUGGGAGGCUUGGAAGUGUGGACGCCAGUCUGCAUGGAGCCGACCUUGAAAUACCACCCUUUAAUGUUUGAUGUUCUAACGUUGACCCGUAAUCCGGGUUGCGGACAGUGUCUGGUGGGUAGUUUGACUGGGGCGGUCUCCUCCUAAAGAGUAACGGAGGAGCACGAAGGUUGGCUAAUCCUGGUCGGACAUCAGGAGGUUAGUGCAAUGGCAUAAGCCAGCUUGACUGCGAGCGUGACGGCGCGAGCAGGUGCGAAAGCAGGUCAUAGUGAUCCGGUGGUUCUGAAUGGAAGGGCCAUCGCUCAACGGAUAAAAGGUACUCCGGGGAUAACAGGCUGAUACCGCCCAAGAGUUCAUAUCGACGGCGGUGUUUGGCACCUCGAUGUCGGCUCAUCACAUCCUGGGGCUGAAGUAGGUCCCAAGGGUAUGGCUGUUCGCCAUUUAAAGUGGUACGCGAGCUGGGUUUAGAACGUCGUGAGACAGUUCGGUCCCUAUCUGCCGUGGGCGCUGGAGAACUGAGGGGGGCUGCUCCUAGUACGAGAGGACCGGAGUGGACGCAUCACUGGUGUUCGGGUUGUCAUGCCAAUGGCACUGCCCGGUAGCUAAAUGCGGAAGAGAUAAGUGCUGAAAGCAUCUAAGCACGAAACUUGCCCCGAGAUGAGUUCUCCCUGACCCUUUAAGGGUCCUGAAGGAACGUUGAAGACGACGACGUUGAUAGGCCGGGUGUGUAAGCGCAGCGAUGCGUUGAGCUAACCGGUACUAAUGAACCGUGAGGCUUAACCUU